rnacentral:tRNA from 1 species
GGGCCGUUAGCUCAGUUGGUAGAGCACCGGACUUUUAAUCCGAGGGUCGAGGGUUCGAGUCCCUCACGGCCCACCA